rnacentral:rRNA from 1 species
CGCAAGCCUGACGGAGCAGGACCGCGUGCGGGAUGACGGCCUAAUGGUUGUAAACCGCUUUUCUCUGGGAAGAAGACUGACGGUACCAGAGGAAUCAGCCUCGGCUAACUCCGUGCCAGCAGCCGCGGUAAUACGGAGGAGGCAAGCGUUAUCCGGAAUUAUUGGGCGUAAAGCGUCCGUAGGUGGUUAUUCAAGUCUGCUGUCAAAGCGUGGGGCUUAACUCCAUAGAGGCAGUGGAAACUGAGUGACUAGAGUGCGGUAGGGGCCGAGGGAAUUCCCAGUGUAGCGGUGAAAUGCGUAGAUAUUGGGAAGAACACCAGUGGCGAAAGCGCUCGACUGGGCCUGCACUGACACUGAGGGACGAAAGCUAAGGGAGCG